GACGAACGCUGGCGGCGUGCUUAACACAUGCAAGUCGAACGGAAAGGCCCUGCUUGCCGGGUACUCGAGUGGCGAACGGGUGAGUAACACGUGGGUGAUCUGCCCUGCACUUCGGGAUAAGCCUGGGAAACUGGGUCUAAUACCGGAUAGGAGCCAUUUUUAGUGUGAUGGUUGGAAAGUUUUUUCGGUGUAGGAUGAGCUCGCGGCCUAUCAGCUUGUUGGUGGGGUAAUGGCCUACCAAGGCGGCGACGGGUAGCCGGCCUGAGAGGGGGGACGGCCACAUUGGGACUGAGAGACGGCCCAGACUCCUACGGGAGGCAGCAGUGGGGAAUAUUGCACAAUGGGCGCAAGCCUGAUGCAGCGACGCCGCGUGGGGGAUGACGGCCUUCGGGUUGUAAACGCCUUUCGCUAGGGACGAAGCUUUGUGUGACGGUACCUAGAUAAGAAGCACCGGCUAACUACGUG
rnacentral:rRNA from 1 species